AUUGAAACCUGAUUUUAACCCUGUACAGUUGUUGCAAACUCACAUAAUUUUAUUUGAUUUUGUUCCUGUAAAUACACAAGUUUUUGUUUAUUUUUAACUUGGCGUGUACUGGUUGACACACCCGCACAGUAUAUCUGUGUUAUGGAAAUUUCAACUGCAGAUUAACCACAAAAUAUAGAAGAAGAAGUACAAUAAACACUAGACAACAGGAAUGACAGGAUAUAUCUUCUGGGGGAUGGAUGGUAACUGAAUCAAUACAAAUAGCCUCAUUGAAUUUGAAAAAGCUGCAAAUGAUAUCAGUAACAAAAGAUUGUUAGUGUGCAGUGUGCAGACAGUGGUUAAACAGAAGUUAACAUUCUAUCAGUUUUGGGAUUUUACAAUCAGCUAGAGGAAAUAAUAGGAGAAAAAGGGACCUGUGUGGUAAAAACUUCCUAAAAGUCGUCCUUUAUGUGUUCAACUUUUUCUUUUGGCUGACAGCCCGGUUAGCUUUCCUAGCAUUAGGGUUAUAUAUCAAGUUCCAGAAGCAUACCUAUAUCAAUCUGCCAGGGAACAGUACUUUCCCUUUGGCAACAUACUUGCUACUAGGAACAGGAGCCUUUAUUAUCUUGUCAGGAAUCAUUAGUUGUACUGGGACAUGUAUAGAAAAUAGAUGUUUUAUGGUUAUGGUUGGAAGAGACUGAUGAACUAUACAUAUCUGGGAUACAGAAUCAAUGAAACAUCGUCAGUACUGAAAGGUCAACAUCAAAGAGGGGUCUGUGCUGUAGACUUCUCAGGUAUUUAUUGUUUGUUCAUUUUCAAUCUUAAUUCAAAAAAUGUAUGCAGAUUGAAACAUGACAGGAUAUUUUUGGUGGUUAACCUUGUAAUGAUUUUGACUGGAACAAAAGAAUGGAUGUCAGGAAAAUCAGGAAAAUAAGAUUAUAAGUACAGCUAGUAUGGGAAUAAAACCUGGAAUUUUAUCACCAGAUCUGGUUGGACUUGGAUAUUUGUUGAUUUGUUACUGCCUGAAAAUUAUCUACUACAGUGAUACUUAAUUUAUUGCCACCUUUUGGAACAUGUAAAAUACUAUCGACAAGUCAGGAUGGCAGUAUAUCAAAGUAGAAAUUUAUAUAAAAACUGCACACAUUUGAGAAAAGUUGACUCAAGGAUUAUUCUGUAAAUUCGUAUUGGCAUGCGUAGGCACCGGACACAUCCAUCUAGAACACCAAUACCAAUAUUUAAUAUUCAAAUAGUUCCAGUGUAAUGCUGUGUGUUAUUCAAGAAAUAGAGUUAAUUAAUUGUCUAUGCAAUUUUAUACCCUUAAAGGACACUUGCUGUGACAAAACUCCUGCAACUUUUAUUGUAUUGUACUUUCAAUAUUCGCAUUGCGCACUCGCAUGCAAAAUCGAUUGUUAUAUAUAGUAAUCCAGCGUACAUCCAAACGUGUAGAGGUGAUUUUAACUUAUAAACUACUAUAAAUAAUAAAAACGAAUGGCAAUACAACUAUAUCAAAGUAAGAAGAUAUAUAUUCCUUGAUAAUUAUCAGAUGUAGGCUUAUCAGACUUUUCUUCCCCGAUCUUCCUGAUUCGCAGCGGGAGCUUUGCGUGUAUAUAGCCUUUGAUUUUCAUACAGUGUGAACAAUGUAUUUCUUCCACUGA